GACGAACGCUGGCGGCGUGCCUAAUACAUGCAAGUCGAACGAAGCUGUUUUAACUGGUGCUUGCACCGACUUAAACAACUGAGUGGCGAACGGGUGAGUAACACGUGGGAAUAUGCCGUAAAGAGGGGGACAACCUGGGGAAACUCAGGCUAAUACCGCAUAGACUCCGAGGAGAGAAGGGGGGGAUCGCAAGGGCUGGCGCGUUACGAAUAGGCUGCGUCCGAUUAGCUGGUUGGAGGGGUAAAGGCCUAGAAAGGCGACGAUCGGGAGCUGGUGUGAGAGGAUGAGCAGCCACACUGGGAAAGAGACACGGCCUAGAAUACUACGGGAGGCAGCAGUGGGGAAUAUUGGACGAUGGGGGGAACACUGAACCAGCAAUGCCGCGUGUGUGAAGAAGGCCUGCCGGUUGUAAAGCCCUUUCCGUGGGGGGGAGGUUUGUUAGGUUAAGAGCUUAACAAAUGGACGUUACCCACAGAAGAAGCACCGGCUAACUCCGUGCCAGCAGCAGCAGUAA
rnacentral:rRNA from 1 species